GUGUUUGGUUUGUUUGGAUCGGUUGGUUCCCUGCUCGCGCAGCGACAACCGCUCCUUCUUACCUUUUCAAUAUUGUUUCAAGAGCAACGAGCCUUGAACCAAAUUGGUUUCCUGUGUUGCGUACCAACGAUGUCGGAAUUGCCCCGUCUACUUGUGCCUAGUUCGUCUUGUGCUGCUCACGCGGCGCGAGUCGAGCCACGUAGUGUCCUUCGUUGUCCUUUCUUGGCUUGCGUUGACGCAGUCAUUGACUUGGCCAACGUUGCCUAAGACACUCGAAAUCUCGGAUAUGGAACCUUAAGCGGAUAGAAAGUGGUCAUUGACCUCGAUUUGUCCAAACUGAGCGUUCUCGCUUCUUACGAACGACUGUCGUUCCCGGUUGAGAUGAGGAUACUUUUGGUCCAACAAGCUCAUUCGGUGUCGACGUCAGAGAAGGAUG
rnacentral:misc_RNA from 1 species